GCCAGGAAAAGUACCGUAAGCUAUAAUUUAAGGCUGCAUCCUGAGGUGCAAGAGCAUAACUUGAGCACUAGUGGUUGUGAUGCUUGCUGCCUGCAGCCCCCUGCCCCCCUUGUAUUCCCCCUCCCAGGCCUCUUCUGGCUCCUGUCAUGCUGCUGGAGUGCAGGUGGCUGGAGGAAGAAAUCUCUCUAGGAAGCACCAGAACAUGUACCAGUAAUGAUGAGGCCAUAUGGAUGAGCUUGUGACAGAGGCAGGAAGGGAGCACAUGGCAGGGAGUGAGGUGUCCUGGCAGAACAAUCAUGCCACCCCCUUUGGCAUGGCUUCCUACAGAGAUGUUGACUGAGUCAUCUUGAAAACUUUCUGACCUAAAAUAAGAGAGAAAGCGUCUUGCCCACAGAAUAUAUUUCCUUGUUUGUAUCUAAACUUCAUGAAAUCUAGAAAAUUAUCAGGAUCACAGAAGGUAAUGAGAUACGGGAAUGAUAUAAAGAAGGAAAUCAGAAAGGUCAGAAGCUCUCUUGGGACUGUGUUAUUCUUAUGAGCAACAUCAUAUUUCUAUUUUGUUCAACGUAAUGUUCCAUUGGGUUAAAAUAAAUGUUGCCUUCUAUUUUCCACAAGCUACCUGACAAAAUAUUUGUUACCUGAUGAAAAUAAUUCACUUAUUAGGUAAAAUGGAUUCUUCAUUAGUCAAAAUUCUUCAUUUGUCAGAAUUGUUUAUUCAGAACUAUUAGUACGUUUUGUAAUACUGAAAGAGUAUAUGUGGAUUUUUAAAAAAUGGUAUUUUUCUGUCCAAUAGCAGGUAUGGAUACAUUGCAGAUAUGGUAGUACCACAGACCAAUGCAUGUAUAAUUGAUAGGCUCUUUCCCAAAUUCCUCUAUUCCUUGCACUCACUACUCUGGCAUUCUUUAAGCUCAAUUUUCUAUGGUCAUAAUGUCUGCCUAUUAUCUACUUGAGGAACCUGUGAGUAGUAAAAUGGCUAAUCAGACUGCUUUGUAUGUUUUCAACCACAAUCUUGAACACCUUCAGUAUAUUCUCUCGGCAAUUUACUGUUUUUCAACGCAGUUUUGAGAAAAGGAGAUAGUUAACAUGAUAAUGACUAUUGUAGAUGGUGUGCCAGAUCCCAAUCUACUUUUGAAUCCACCUAACUGGACUUGGGCACCUAAAUGUGAUCUGAAUUCCUCCUGUUCAAGUCUUUAAAAAACAUCCACACACCUACUUCUAUCAUGCAUCCUCAUCUUAGCUUCAAAACUAAAUCAAUCACAAGAUGCCAUAAGCACGAGAAGGACCAAUUUUUAUGUUAGCUUUUCUUCAGGGCUUGAACAGGAUGGAAUAGGAUUGCAUUUAGGCAUAUAAAUGAACUAAAUUGUUGUAUAAUUUGUGAUUUUGCAGAUUUUGCUGAAAUCAUGAAAUUGGGCAUUGUGGGUG